rnacentral:rRNA from 1 species
GCUGACGAGUGGCGCACGGGUGCGUAACGCGUAGGCAAUCUACCGUUGACUGGGAGAUAGCCCGGGGAAACCCGGAUUAAUACCCCAUAGUAUUGAGAGAUCACCUGAUCAUUCAAUUAAAGAUUUAUCGGUCAACGAUGAGCCUGCGUCAGAUUAGCUAGUUGGUGCGGUAAUGGCGCACCAAGGCGACGAUCUGUAGGGGGUCUGAGAGGAUGAUCCCCACACUGGUACUGAGAUACGGACCAGACUCCUACGGGAGGCAGCAGUAGGGAAUAUUGGGCAAUGGGUGAGAGCCUGACCCAGCCAUGCCGCGUGCAGGAAGACGGCCCUCUGGGUUGUAAACUGCUUUUAUACAGGAACAAAACGGUCGUGCGCGAUCAAUUGCGUGUACUGUAUGAAUAAGCACCGGCUAACUCCGUGCCAGCAGCCGCGGUAAUACGGAGGGUGCAAGCGUUGUCCGGAUUUAUUGGGUUUAAAGGGUACGUAGGCGGAAUGUUAAGUCCGAGGUGAAAGCCCACCGCUCAACGGUGGAACUGCCUUGGAUACUGACAAUCUUGAGUGCCGUAAAGGUAGGCGGAAUUCAUGGUGUAGCGGUGAAAUGCAUAGAUACCAUGAGGAACACCGAUAGGGGAAGCCAGCUUACUGGACGGUUACUGACGCCUGAGGUACCGAAAGCCGUGGGGAGCGAACAGGAUUAG